CAAAGAAACGACGGCGAGAGGUGGAGCCGCUGAGCUGACAACUGUCAAAAGACUAAGAGCCCUUCCGUCCUCAAAGCAUCUUGUCGUAGCGCGUUAGAAACCGUUAUACGCCACGUGAUUGAAGUGAGUAUCCUGUAUCUCGUGAGUGUAACGACGUCUCUGUCGCUAUUCCGUUAUCUCGGAGCCGUUUCGGAUGAGCGGUUCGCACUUUGGCAGGUUUUAACGGACUGCAUGUCUUCCUGGAGACCCACUGAGAAGAGAUGUCAAGGCGAAGCACAAGGUUAGUGUCCAAAGAGCCGUCCUUCCCUGAUGAUGACGCUGCCAGCACGAGCUCCACCGGAUCCACUGGCCACAUCACUUACAAAGAGAGCCCAACCAGGAUCUUCAAGAAGAGGAGUGGCCGCAAGAGCACAGGCAGUGUUUCCCGCAAUUCAAGCCGCGCGAGCAGUGUGAGUCAGUUACUGACUGGGCAGCGCAGUGAAUUCACUGCCGCUGAGAAUGAGAAUGGUAAGUAUCUGCACAUACAGAAUCUGUAAAAAUAAAUAAAUAUUA
rnacentral:lncRNA from 1 species